rnacentral:rRNA from 1 species
AGCGAACGCUGGCGGCAUGCUUAACACAUGCAAGUCGCGCGGGUGGUUUCGGCCAUCAGCGGCGGACGGGUGGGUAGCGCGGAGGAAGGUAUCCCGAGGUGGGGGACAACCCUGGGAAACUGGGGCUAAUACCGCAUGGGGCGUGUGGGUCAAAGCCGUAGGGCGGCUUGGGAGCAGGCUGCGUCCGAUUAGGUAGGUGGUGGGGUGAAGGCCUACCAAGCCUGCGAUCGGUAGCUGGUCUGUGAGGACGAUCAGCCACACUGGGACGGAGCCACGGCCCAGACUCCUACGGGAGGCAGCAGUGGGGAAUAUUGGACAAUGGGCGCAAGCCUGAUCCAGCAAUGCCGCGUGGGUGAAGAAGGUCUUCGGAUUGUAAAGCCCUUUCGGCGGGGACGAUGAUGACGGUACCCGCAGAAGAAGCCCCGGCUAACUUCGUG